rnacentral:misc_RNA from 1 species
UGCUGAUCGCGGAUCGGUGCGUUCCGUCGAGCUUGGAACACGAAAAACGCGUUUCGGCGAUGUUUUAUUUAUACAAACAUCGGCGCAAGUGACAGAUAAAUCGGGGAUAUUUAGUUGUUUUGGAUUUUGUGGAUGUUAUUACUGCGAAAACGAUUUGAUUUAGUCGGGAAAGUUUGAUUUUGUGGUGAAUUUUUGAGGAUUUAUUAAAUAUUUGGAUCGGUCUUGGCUUCAGAUUCAAGAGCAUACAACAACAAAGGAACCCGUCUAUUUUACCAAACAGCUGUAGUUAGUGAAUACAUACAACAGUUUCAGUGCGUCUACAUAGUGAAUUAAGCCAUCUUAACGUUAAUUCAUCGUUAAAACCAUGACCAUGGCCUCGAAUAUAGUGACGGAAUGGCUGAAAUCGUUACGAUUAGGCCAAUAUUCCGAAAGUUUCAUCGAUAACGGUUAUGACGACUUGGAAAUCUGCAAACAAAUCGGCGACCCUGACUUGGAUGCCAUCGGAGUGUUCAACCCUUCACACAGAGCGCGGUUGCUUCAAAGUGUUCGAACUCUACGCGAAGAGGGAGCUGCAAGUGUUUACUUCAGUCUGGAAGAAGCCGAAAAAGCCAACCAGGAGGACGAUACCAACACCAUUCAAAACUUUUUGACAUCUUCGGCGAAUAAUAGUGAUGUUGAUAGACACAGUAACUCUUCCAAGGCUUCGGGUGAUAAGACUGUACCUAGUGCACCACCUCCAUGUACCGAGGAAGUCGCGAAGUACUUGGAUGAGUAUGAGGAGGGUAAAGCUGAGCUGGUGAAGAUACCUAGGAUGCAGCUGAAGGUGUUGCUGAAGGAGAAGCUGAUGCAGGAUGGUGUGAAGCUGAGUUUUCAACCUUAUUCAACUCAGGAUGGUGAACGGGGUUACCUGGAAGGACUGGCAUCGAGGUACGCAGACCUUUUUUCAACACACUACGGUGACGUUUUAGGUCAUCUGGAGGACCUUAGGAAAACAGAGGUGGCGGAAUCAGCCACGAGAGAGCGCUUACAAUCGAACACUUCGGACACGAACAGCGUGGGAAGUAACACUAGUCAGGGCAUGACGUCGUCACAGAGUCAACCCCUCUACGUACCAGGCAAAUAUUUACCAUCUAGUUGUUUAACACAUAAAGAAGAGGAUGAAAUAUACGGUUUUGCUGGUCCUGUACUGAAACCAAACCAAAUACAUCUUCCUCAAUCGCAAAAGAUCAUUGCACCUCCCAUGACUCAACCAUUAUUAUCACAUCAGCAGCAUAACUAUCAAACGUGUUUAAGUCCCAGAUCAGCGUACUUCUACGAAUUUCCGCCAAAUGAACAAAGUUACUCGAACACCAGCAAGAAGAAAAACACAUUUUCUCGGAUCCAGAGAAUAUUUAAAACGUCCCAUCGGAAGGAAAAGCACGGGUCCAGUUCUCCAAGGCACGGAAGGGCAGCAGCCAGAGGUGUUCCUCAAAGGGUGGACACUCCUGACAGCGUCCUGCAAUCCGGCUUAGGGCUGUCAGAUCUGGGCCAGCACGCCGUCCUGCGUUCCAUGGUGGAUCCCAUGGAUUAUGAUCGACUGCGCCAUCUGCAGAUGAACGGCGGCACUCCGAACUCGUUCGAAGAGACAAUCUAUAAACUCAAGGUUCAGGAGGCUCUAAGAAAAAGGGAGAAGUUUGCGAAGGAACACGAAGAGAUAUUAAGAGACAUAAAACAGGGUUUACUACAAUUAGGAAAAGAAGGUAUACGAGGGCCUCUAACAUCUGCAGAUGACACGUAUAUGUACGACGAUGACGUCAGGAUGCUGGCGCCAUCUUGUAUGCCCCACCCUCAUGAUCCUCGUUUGGGACACUGGUACGACGAACCGCCCUACGAAAGCGAUCCAGAAGAUUUUUUAAUGGGAGGGAGAGGGGGACCACAAGCUACGAUACAGAACGGAAGAGUUUGCUUCACGCUGAACGUUCGACCAGACCAAAAAAGUGGAGAGGGAGUUAUAUCUCUACGUACUGCAGGAGAUAUUUCCCUUCCUACAGCUCACUGUCAGACACCUAGAAGAGGUCUGAUUUUACCCAGGGAAGCUGGGUAUCCACCCACAAUCAUACCAUUAAGGUCUUCCAGAGAGCGGGAAAGUGGCGAUUAUGCCAGUUCCGACGUCCAGAGUGUCAGUUCGAGAUUAUCCACGCUUUCCAUGGACACAAGCAGAUCCGAGUUAUUAGAGAUGACAAGCAUGAUAUCGCCUCAGUGUUACACGCAGCUCGAUAACAACAGUAAACAGCGACAUUUUAGUAGGCGCAGUCAUAACUAUCCGAGAAGUGAAGACGGCCUAUCACCUAGUCAGAGUUCAGACUACGAAGACCAAGAAGAGUAUAGCAACUGUAGUCAGCAACAAAUAGCUACCGUCCAUGUGUCAAGUGAUGGAAGAACUGGAGUGUCCAGUUUGGUGGGAAAAGUUAGAGGUUUAAGAGAAGAUGUCCAAAGGAAAAUAUCACGAUUAAAAGGAGACGAUCAACGAACCAAUCAUGAACAAACACACACUUUCUCAGCUAGUUCAGUGGAAAGUUUACCAAGUGGAUCUGGCUCAAGUACGCAGGCGUUAGUGAGAGCUGGAAGUAACCACAGCUCUAUAUCAACAGAGGAAGUAGAUCCUAGUCCCACAGAUCAAAUUAUUGGUCGAGCCAGAGCAGUUAUGGAUCAAAUACCAAGUUCGUACGAUAAGGAAGCGUUAAAAUUUAAGGCUGGUGAUAUAAUAGACAUAGUUUCCAUGAACGCGAGCGGACUUUGGCGAGGCAUCUGCCACGGCAAAAAGGGCACUUUCAAGUUCAAACACGUCGAACUGUUGUCCGAGAGAUCAGUAAAACCCAAACGCGAGCCUAAGUCAUGGCACAGGGCCGUCAAGGGCAAACCUGUAUCCGUGGAGGAUUUACUCCAUAAAAUUGGUCUGCCGGAUUACAUAUCCGUUUUCGUGCUGAACGGAUACGAAGAUUUGGAGCUGUUCAAGGAAAUUGAACCUUCGGAUAUGGAUUAUUUGGGGAUAGUGAACGCCGAUCACAGGGCGAAGAUUUUGACGGCGGUGCAGUUGCUGCAUGAGUUGGAUUCAGGUAGUGAGGGCGACAUUGCAGGCUCGAGCAGCGAGAACGACGACCAGCGGCAACACCGCACCAACUUCGGCCGACGUCACUUUCCGCGCGAUUCUGGUUGCUACGACGGCCACAAGAGGUCGCACAUGUCGCCCCAAUCCGACACCAGCGACCAAGCGGACAAGAACAACCUUGAUUCGGUGGUGGAGCAGUGUAACAACGAAAUAUUAGCUAGGGUAGGUGCGUCAAGCGCAAAAGAACCAUUUAAACACCAAAGAAGACCUCGGCUACGAGAUGAACAUACCGCCUAUGGUGCUGGAACGAAAAACGAAGGAUUCCUAUGUCACCAUGCACGGUCAGACGUCCUUGGUCGAUCCUUGCAGGCGCAAUUUGCCGAGUAGGAAGAAAACCGUUGAGGAUUUUUGCGAAACCGAUCAAAAAUUUUCGUCAGUAAAAUUUGUGGUUGGUUCUGAGCUCUCCGAACAGGGAUCCCUCAACAUCCUGGGCAAGAGUUGCCUGAGCGAAAAGUCAAGCGACAGCGGCGUGAGCAGCAGUUCUCUGUCUUCCACGCUGAAAGAGAG